CCUCCAUAAGCUGAUAGCGGCGGUUAUAACAGCGACCCAUGUCCAUAGAUUAUUGACGAUGGUGAAAACGCCAAAGAUGGCGUAACUGAAUGUAAGUGCUUCGAGAGGAGACGAUGAAUCUAACAUACUGUUCAUGAUUGAUUAUAUUAUAUAUGGUGAUUGAAGAUGAAAUAAAAUGCUCAAUCAACUUUGCGGCCUUUUUUUCUUUUUGUGGAAGAAUCCAAAGAGGCUCACCAGCUGAAAUUAAUAUAAGGAGAGACGGGAGAGGACGUGAGCCGCUGGACGAGUCAAGUGGAGAGUGGGACCUGAUGAGAUAUGCCGAGUAUCGAGAGCCAAGAUGCUUUUUGACGGUUUUAU
rnacentral:lncRNA from 1 species